CAAACAACAAAUAGAAGCUCCUGUCUCUUUCUCAACAAGAUUUUUGUAAUUCUUGAAGGUUUGAUGGGUCCACAAAUGUCAGCAUGUACCAACUGUAGCCUCUGUGAUGCUCUCCACAAGCUCCUCUUUGGAAUUGCGUCCCUGUGUUGCUUUCCCACCAUGCAAUCAGUGCAUACUUUGGAUGAUGCUUUCAGCUGUGAACCUCGAACUCCCUUCGAAGUGCUUGAAGUUGUGCCCUUUUGACUCUUGUGGAACCUUGGUACUUCUGCUUCAUAGAGUCCCAGAUAUGCUUACCAGACUCUUUAUUGAGGAUGGUCUCCAUAAUGUUUCGAUCUAUGGCUUGGAACAGAUAAUUCUUAACCUUCAAGUCUUUCAGCUUGUGAUCUGCAAUUGCCUUCUGUUGAGCUUCAGUAGGCUCUAUUCCUUCUGCUGCAGCAGGGAUUCCAUUCUCCACCAAGCUCCAAUACUCCUUCGAACGAAGAAAAUUUUCCAUAAGCAUAGACCAAUGAUCAUAAUGGCCAUCGAACUUAGGAAUUGCAGGUUGAACAAAGUUACUACUUUCAGCUGCCAUACUUUGAUCACUCUUUCUCUUAUCUUACUCUCUUUUUACU